rnacentral:rRNA from 1 species
GGAAGUAAAAGUCGUAACAAGGUAGCCGUAGGUGAACCUGCGGUUGGAUCAUUCACUAUUCCAAAUGUUGGUGGAGAGAGUGUGGGAGUCACAUCCCCUCUCGCUUCAUCUCAACCCUCUGUGAAAUUACGAUUGUUUGUUUGAGUGUAUGCCUUUGCAAAAGGGCAUAUGCUAGACAUUAUAAACUGUUUUAUUUUCAUUGUUUGAAACUGAACGAAUUCAAUUGUGACAAAUUGAAACAACUUUUGACAAUGGAUCUCUUGGUUCUCACAACGAUGAAGAACGCAGCGAAUUGCGAUAAGUAAUGUGAAUUGCGGAAGUAUGUGAAUCAUCAAAUCUUUGAACGCACAUUGCACUUUUCGGUAUCCCGGGAAGUAUUUCUGUUUGAGAAUCAUUUUAACCCUCUCUCUCUUUUGGAGUCUUUCAAAGGGGGGAGGAUGGAUCAUCCUUUGCGAUGGCAAGCCAUUGCAAUCGAUGCAAAUUUAUGGACAUGACCGGGUCCUUCCAAGUUAGAGCACCUGGCGAAUUCAUUUCAUUUGAAGUCUCGUUGCAGAUCUCGAAAAAUGAUACUAGCCAAUUCUCUAAUGGACUCUUUUGGUUUUUAAAGUCCUGGUCGCGGAUUUGGGGGAAACAACGCUUUCCCUCCACUUCGCGACAAAUCUCCAAAACCUUUGAUCUCAAAUCAGAAAGGAUCACCCGCUGAACUUAAGCAUAUCAAUAAGCGGAGGA